UACGAAGGGUGCAAGCGUUACUCGGAAUUACUGGGCGUAAAGCGUGCGUAGGUGGUUUUUUAAGUCCGUUGUGAAAGCCCUGGGCUCAACCUGGGAAUGGCAGUGGAUACUGGAAAGCUAGAGUGCGGUAGAGGGUAGUGGAAUUCCCGGUGUAGCAGUGAAAUGCGUAGAGAUCGGGAAGAACACCAGUGGCGAAGGCGACUCACUGGACACGUAUUGACGCUGAGGUGCGAAAGCGUGGGGAGCAAACAGG
rnacentral:rRNA from 1 species